CUGCCCUUCAGAGGGGGAUAACGUCUGGAAACGGACGCUAAUACCGCAUGACAUAUUUCCAUCGCAUGGUGGAGAUAUCAAAGGAGCAAUCCGCUGAAGGAUGGACUCGCGUCCGAUUAGAUAGUUGGCGGGGUAACGGCCCACCAAGUCGACGAUCGGUAGCCGGACUGAGAGGUUGAACGGCCACAUUGGGACUGAGACACGGCCCAGACUCCUACGGGAGGCAGCAGUGGGGGAUAUUGCACAAUGGGCGAAAGCCUGAUGCAGCAACGCCGCGUGAGGGAAGACGGUUUUCGGAUUGUAAACCUCUGUUCUAAGUGACGAACAAAUGACGGUAGCUUAGGAGAAAGCCCCGGCUAACUACGUGCCAGCAGCCGCGGUAAUACGUAGGGGGCAAGCGUUGUCCGGAAUUACUGGGUGUAAAGGGAGCGCAGGCGGAGAAGCAAGUCAGUGGUGAAAACGAUGGGCUUAACUCAUCGACUGCCAUUGAAACUGUUUCCCUUGAGUGAAGUAGAGGCAGGCGGAAUUCCGAGUGUAGCGGUGAAAUGCGUAGAUAUUCGGAGGAACACCAGUGGCGAAGGCGGCCUGCUGGGCUUUAACUGACGCUGAGGCUCGAAAGUGUGGGGAGCAAACAGGAUUAGAUACCCUGGUAGUCCACACUGUAAACGAUGAUUACUAGGUGUGGGGGGUCUGACCCCUUCCGUGCCGGAG
rnacentral:rRNA from 1 species